rnacentral:rRNA from 1 species
CUACGUGCCAGCAGCCGCGGUAAUACGUAGGUCCCGAGCGUUAUCCGGAUUUAUUGGGCGUAAAGCGAGCGCAGGCGGUUAGAUAAGUCUGAAGUUAAAGGCUGUGGCUUAACCAUAGUACGCUUUGGAAACUGUUUAACUUGAGUGCAGAAGGGGAGAGUGGAAUUCCAUGUGUAGCGGUGAAAUGCGUAGAUAUAUGGAGGAACACCGGUGGCGAAAGCGGCUCUCUGGUCUGUAACUGACGCUGAGGCUCGAAAGCGUGGGGAGCAAACAGGAUUAGAUACCCUGGUAGUCCACGCCGUAAACGAUGAGUGCUAGGUGUUGGGUCCUUUCCGGGACUCAGUGCCGCAGCUAACGCAUUAAGCAUCCCACCUGGGGAGUACGCCGGCAACGGUGAAACUCAAAGGAAUUGACGGGGGCCCGCACAAGCGGAGGAACAUGUGGUUUAAUUCGAUGAUACGCGAGGAACCUUACCCGGGCUUGAA